UAUUCUCAUGCGAAAUUGUUCAUCGAAUUGUUUUUUAAUUAUUAAAGUUUCAUUUCCUGUAAGUUGUAUUGAUAAGCGACACGUUUUACAAGGAAUCACGUUUUGGAGGCGGAGCUUACAACAUCCGUAUUUAUAAACCGAAACAGCUGUUGGCAGUCGUAAACUGUGUUCGUCGUCCUCGUCCAGACAGGAUCUUCGCAAUAAACGCGCUACUUUGAAAGCUAUAUGUACAUUAAGGAAUAGUUCAUAUAUAAAAAGAACACAUACACCGCUAUGGCUCCGAUAGAGCGUAAUAUGAAGGAUAAAGAGAGUUCAAAGAAGCAGGCAAAGCAGGCAAAUUCGAACUCAGAUAUUGAUGAGAAGAGACUUUGCGGACACUUUGUCUCGACCACGGCAAAGCAAAACUUGUUCAAUCAUCGACAACAGGUUAUCAAGGCAUGCACGUGGACAUUACAUCAUGCAUGCAAUUGCCGUGACAGUAAUUGUGAUGUUAAACACUGCCAGACCAUGAAACGCGUUUGGCAGCACGUAUUGGGCUGCCAAAAACAUCCGCGAGUUUGUCAAAUCUGCAAAAAUUUCCACACUAUUGUUGGAUACCAUUCGAAGACGUGCAACAACAACGCUUGCACUCUGGUGUUUUGCAACGCCAUCAAGAAACGAAGAAACAGCCGAGUUCAAUUCUUCAAGAAGUAGAUCUGAUAGACUGAUGUUGGCGUUAUUUUUAAAAGCACAGUUGAGGCAAGAUGAUGUGCAUCUUGGUUAGCUUGACUGUUUUUUUGCUAACCAUUUAGCAAAAUUCCAUUGUUUUUAACGAAUGGAGUGGGGACUAGUUAAACUGACGUAUUUGUUAUUUUUUUAUAAUAUUGCUCGAAAGCUACGAGCAACUUCUACACAAACCGCAUGGUUUUUAUUGCAUUGACAUAUACAAGAGCUGCACUUGGUAAUGGAAUUUUUCAUAACGGUAUAAACGACCUUGCAUAUAAAUAAUCCUAUGUAUUGACAGAAGGAAAACGUCAUUUUCCGCUAGGUACAAGUGUCUUUGCACCAUUUUCUACGUGACCUCAGCCAGGAAUGUAAGGAGUGAAGAAUAACAUUUAAUUUAUCCCUGUUUAGCCGAAACAACUUAACUACGUCAUUACAAGAAAGUACAAAAAUUUUACUUAUUCAUUUUUCCUCCCUUUGCAAUUUCUAUUUCAUAAACUGCGAAAAUAUUUCAUAAACUACGAUGCAAUAGAGGCCCACAUAUACGCCUACAUACUUAUGAAAUAAGUGACUAGUUGGGAUUGUAAUUUUAAUUUAUUUUUUUGAUGACACGUAUAUUGUACGUUAAAAACAUACCUACCAUUGUACAGAUACUACAAGAAAAUCUCAUUAAAAUAGUUUUGUUUUCCUCUUUAA